UUAAGCGACUAAGCGUACACGGUGGAUGCCCUGGCAGUCAGAGGCGAUGAAGGACGUGCUAAUCUGCGAAAAGCGUCGGUAAGGUGAUAUGAACCGUUAUAGCCGGCGAUGUCCGAAUGGGGAAACCCAGUGCAAUUCGUUGCACUAUCGUUAACUGAAUACAUAGGUUAACGAGGCGAACCGGGGGAACUGAAACAUCUAAGUACCCCGAGGAAAAGAAAUCAACCGAGAUUCCCCCAGUAGCGGCGAGCGAACGGGGAGCAGCCCAGAGUCUGAAUCAGCUUGUGUGUUAGUGGAACGGUCUGGAAAGUCCGACGGUACAGGGUGAUAGUCCCGUACACCAAAAUGCACAGGUUGUGAACUCGAAGAGUAGGGCGGGACACGUGGUAUCCUGUCUGAAUAUGGGGGGACCAUCCUCCAAGGCUAAAUACUCCUGACUGACCGAUAGUGAACCAGUACCGUGAGGGAAAGGCGAAAAGAACCCCGGCGAGGGGAGUGAAAAAGAACCUGAAACCGUGUACGUACAAGCAGUGGGAGCACCUUCGGGUGUGACUGCGUACCUUUUGUAUAAUGGGUCAGCGACUUAUAUUCUGUAGCAAGGUUAACCGUAUAGGGGAGCCGCAGGGAAACCGAGUCUUAACUGGGCGUUAAGUUGCAGGGUAUAGACCCGAAACCCGGUGAUCUAGCCAUGGGCAGGUUGAAGGUUGGGUAACACUAACUGGAGGACCGAACCGACUAAUGUUGAAAAAUUAGCGGAUGACUUGUGGCUGGGGGUGAAAGGCCAAUCAAACCGGGAGAUAGCUGGUUCUCCCCGAAAGCUAUUUAGGUAGCGCCUCGUGAACUCAUCUUCGGGGGUAGAGCACUGUUUCGGCUAGGGGGUCAUCCCGACUUACCAACCCGAUGCAAACUACGAAUACCGAAGAAUGUUAUCACGGGAGACACACGGCGGGUGCUAACGUCCGUCGUGAAGAGGGAAACAACCCAGACCGCCAGCUAAGGUCCCAAAGUCAUGGUUAAGUGGGAAACGAUGUGGGAAGGCACAGACAGCCAGGAUGUUGGCUUAGAAGCAGCCAUCAUUUAAAGAAAGCGUAAUAGCUCACUGGUCGAGUCGGCCUGCGCGGAAGAUGUAACGGGGCUAAACCAUGCACCGAAGCUGCGGCAGCGACACUAUGUGUUGUUGGGUAGGGGAGCGUUCUGUAAGCCUGCGAAGGUGACCUGUGAGGGUUGCUGGAGGUAUCAGAAGUGCGAAUGCUGACAUAAGUAACGAUAAAGCGGGUGAAAAGCCCGCUCGCCGGAAGACCAAGGGUUCCUGUCCAACGUUAAUCGGGGCAGGGUGAGUCGACCCCUAAGGCGAGGCCGAAAGGCGUAGUCGAUGGGAAACAGGUUAAUAUUCCUGUACUUGGUGUUACUGCGAAGGGGGGACGGAGAAGGCUAUGUUAGCCGGGCGACGGUUGUCCCGGUUUAAGCAUGUAGGCUGAUUGUCCAGGCAAAUCCGGAUAAUCAAGGCUGAGGUGUGAUGACGAGGCACUACGGUGCUGAAGUAACAAAUGCCCUGCUUCCAGGAAAAGCCUCUAAGCAUCAGGUAACAUUAAAUCGUACCCCAAACCGACACAGGUGGUCAGGUAGAGAAUACCAAGGCGCUUGAGAGAACUCGGGUGAAGGAACUAGGCAAAAUGGUGCCGUAACUUCGGGAGAAGGCACGCUGGUGUGUAGGUGAAGCCCCUGCGGGUGGAGCUGAGACCAGUCGAAGAUACCAGCUGGCUGCAACUGUUUAUUAAAAACACAGCACUGUGCAAACACGAAAGUGGACGUAUACGGUGUGACGCCUGCCCGGUGCCGGAAGGUUAAUUGAUGGGGUUAUCCGUAAGGAGAAGCUCUUGAUCGAAGCCCCGGUAAACGGCGGCCGUAACUAUAACGGUCCUAAGGUAGCGAAAUUCCUUGUCGGGUAAGUUCCGACCUGCACGAAUGGCGUAAUGAUGGCCAGGCUGUCUCCACCCGAGACUCAGUGAAAUUGAACUCGCUGUGAAGAUGCAGUGUACCCGCGGCAAGACGGAAAGACCCCGUGAACCUUUACUAUAGCUUGACACUGAACAUUGAGCCUUGAUGUGUAGGAUAGGUGGGAGGCUUUGAAGCGUGGACGCCAGUCUGCGUGGAGCCAACCUUGAAAUACCACCCUUUAAUGUUUGAUGUUCUAACGUUGGCCCCUGACCGGGGUUGCGGACAGUGUCUGGUGGGUAGUUUGACUGGGGCGGUCUCCUCCCAAAGCGUAACGGAGGAGCACGAAGGUUAGCUAAUCCUGGUCGGACAUCAGGAGGUUAGUGCAAUGGCAUAAGCUAGCUUGACUGCGAGCGUGACGGCGCGAGCAGGUGCGAAAGCAGGUCAUAGUGAUCCGGUGGUUCUGAAUGGAAGGGCCAUCGCUCAACGGAUAAAAGGUACUCCGGGGAUAACAGGCUGAUACCGCCCAAGAGUUCAUAUCGACGGCGGUGUUUGGCACCUCGAUGUCGGCUCAUCACAUCCUGGGGCUGAAGUAGGUCCCAAGGGUAUGGCUGUUCGCCAUUUAAAGUGGUACGCGAGCUGGGUUUAGAACGUCGUGAGACAGUUCGGUCCCUAUCUGCCGUGGGCGCUGGAGAAUUGAGGGGGGCUGCUCCUAGUACGAGAGGACCGGAGUGGACGCAUCACUGGUGUUCGGGUUGUCAUGCCAAUGGCACUGCCCGGUAGCUAAAUGCGGAAGAGAUAAGUGCUGAAAGCAUCUAAGCACGAAACUUGCCCCGAGAUGAGUUCUCCCUGAGACUUUAAGUCUCCUGAAGGAACGUUAAAGACGAUGACGUUGAUAGGCCGGGUGUGUAAGCGCAGCGAUGCGUUGAGCUAACCGGUACUAAUGAACCGUGAGGCUUAACCUU
rnacentral:rRNA from 1 species